GGGCCCGCACAAGCGGUGGAGUAUGUGGUUUAAUUCGAUGCAACGCGAAGAACCUUACCAGGGUUUGACAUCCUGCGAAUUUCUUGGAAACGAGAAAGUGCCUUCGGGAACGCAGUGACAGGUGGUGCAUGGCUGUCGUCAGCUCGUGUCGUGAGAUGUUGGGUUAAGUCCCGCAACGAGCGCAACCCACGUCUUUAGUUGCCAGCAUUUAGUUGGGCACUCUAGAGAGACCGCCGGUGAUAAACCGGAGGAAGGUGUGGAUGACGUCAAGUCAUCAUGCCCCUUACAUCCUGGGCUACACACGUACUACAAUGCUACGGACAAAGGGCAGCAAACUCGCGAGAGCUAGCAAAUCCCAUAAACCGUGGCUCAGUUCAGAUCGUAGGCUGCAACUCGCCUACGUGAAGGCGGAAUCGCUAGUAAUCG
rnacentral:rRNA from 1 species